rnacentral:rRNA from 1 species
CACUAUCGUUAACUGAAUACAUAGGUUAACGAGGCGAACCGGGGGAACUGAAACAUCUAAGUACCCCGAGGAAAAGAAAUCAACCGAGAUUCCCCCAGUAGCGGCGAGCGAACGGGGAGCAGCCCAGAGUCUGAAUCAGCUUGUGUGUUAGUGGAACGGUCUGGAAAGUCCGACGGUACAGGGUGAUAGUCCCGUACACCAAAAUGCACAGGUUGUGAACUCGAAGAGUAGGGCGGGACACGUGGUAUCCUGUCUGAAUAUGGGGGGACCAUCCUCCAAGGCUAAAUACUCCUGACUGACCGAUAGUGAACCAGUACCGUGAGGGAAAGGCGAAAAGAACCCCGGCGAGGGGAGUGAAAAAGAACCUGAAACCGUGUACGUACAAGCAGUGGGAGCACCUUUAUGGUGUGACUGCGUACCUUUUGUAUAAUGGGUCAGCGACUUAUAUUCUGUAGCAAGGUUAACCGUAUAGGGGAGCCGCAGGGAAACCGAGUCUUAACUGGGCGUUAAGUUGCAGGGUAUAGACCCGAAACCCGGUGAUCUAGCCAUGGGCAGGUUGAAGGUUGGGUAACACUAACUGGAGGACCGAACCGACUAAUGUUGAAAAAUUAGCGGAUGACUUGUGGCUGGGGGUGAAAGGCCAAUCAAACCGGGAGAUAGCUGGUUCUCCCCGAAAGCUAUUUAGGUAGCGCCUCGUGAACUCAUCUUCGGGGGUAGAGCACUGUUUCGGCUAGGGGGUCAUCCCGACUUACCAACCCGAUGCAAACUACGAAUACCGAAGAAUGUUAUCACGGGAGACACACGGCGGGUGCUAACGUCCGUCGUGAAGAGGGAAACAACCCAGACCGCCAGCUAAGGUCCCAAAGUCAUGGUUAAGUGGGAAACGAUGUGGGAAGGCACAGACAGCCAGGAUGUUGGCUUAGAAGCAGCCAUCAUUUAAAGAAAGCGUAAUAGCUCACUGGUCGAGUCGGCCUGCGCGGAAGAUGUAACGGGGCUAAACCAUGCACCGAAGCUGCGGCAGCGACACUAUGUGUUGUUGGGUAGGGGAGCGUUCUGUAAGCCUGCGAAGGUGACCUGUGAGGGCUGCUGGAGGUAUCAGAAGUGCGAAUGCUGACAUAAGUAACGAUAAAGCGGGUGAAAAGCCCGCUCGCCGGAAGACCAAGGGUUCCUGUCCAACGUUAAUCGGGGCAGGGUGAGUCGACCCCUAAGGCGAGGCCGAAAGGCGUAGUCGAUGGGAAACAGGUUAAUAUUCCUGUACUUGGUGUUACUGCGAAGGGGGGACGGAGAAGGCUAUGUUAGCCGGGCGACGGUUGUCCCGGUUUAAGCAUGUAGGCUGGUUAUCCAGGCAAAUCCGGAUAAUCAAGGCUGAGGUGUGAUGACGAGGCACUACGGUGCUGAAGUAACAAAUGCCCUGCUUCCAGGAAAAGCCUCUAAGCAUCAGGUAACAUCAAAUCGUACCCCAAACCGACACAGGUGGUCAGGUAGAGAAUACCAAGGCGCUUGAGAGAACUCGGGUGAAGGAACUAGGCAAAAUGGUGCCGUAACUUCGGGAGAAGGCACGCUGGUGUGUAGGUGAAGUCCCUGCGGAUGGAGCUGAGACCAGUCGAAGAUACCAGCUGGCUGCAACUGUUUAUUAAAAACACAGCACUGUGCAAACACGAAAGUGGACGUAUACGGUGUGACGCCUGCCCGGUGCCGGAAGGUUAAUUGAUGGGGUUAUCCGUAAGGAGAAGCUCUUGAUCGAAGCCCCGGUAAACGGCGGCCGUAACUAUAACGGUCCUAAGGUAGCGAAAUUCCUUGUCGGGUAAGUUCCGACCUGCACGAAUGGCGUAAUGAUGGCCAGGCUGUCUCCACCCGAGACUCAGUGAAAUUGAACUCGCUGUGAAGAUGCAGUGUACCCGCGGCAAGACGGAAAGACCCCGUGAACCUUUACUAUAGCUUGACACUGAACAUUGAGCCUUGAUGUGUAGGAUAGGUGGGAGGCUUUGAAGCGUGGACGCCAGUCUGCGUGGAGCCAACCUUGAAAUACCACCCUUUAAUGUUUGAUGUUCUAACGUUGGCCCCUUAUCGGGGUUGCGGACAGUGUCUGGUGGGUAGUUUGACUGGGGCGGUCUCCUCCCAAAGCGUAACGGAGGAGCACGAAGGUUAGCUAAUCCUGGUCGGACAUCAGGAGGUUAGUGCAAUGGCAUAAGCUAGCUUGACUGCGAGCGUGACGGCGCGAGCAGGUGCGAAAGCAGGUCAUAGUGAUCCGGUGGUUCUGAAUGGAAGGGCCAUCGCUCAACGGAUAAAAGGUACUCCGGGGAUAACAGGCUGAUACCGCCCAAGAGUUCAUAUCGACGGCGGUGUUUGGCACCUCGAUGUCGGCUCAUCACAUCCUGGGGCUGAAGUAGGUCCCAAGGGUAUGGCUGUUCGCCAUUUAAAGUGGUACGCGAGCUGGGUUUAGAACGUCGUGAGACAGUUCGGUCCCUAUCUGCCGUGGGCGCUGGAGAAUUGAGGGGGGCUGCUCCUAGUACGAGAGGACCGGAGUGGACGCAUCACUGGUGUUCGGGUUGUCAUGCCAAUGGCACUGCCCGGUAGCUAAAUGCGGAAGAGAUAAGUGCUGAAAGCAUCUAAGCACGAAACUUGCCCCGAGAUGAGUUCUCCCUGAGACUUUAAGUCUCCUGAAGGAACGUUGAAGACGACGACGUUGAUAGGCCGGGUGUGUAAGCGCAGCGAUGCGUUGAGCUAACCGGUACUAAUGAACCGUGAGGCUUAACCUU